CAAACUUCCCCACAGGCACCAGGGCUGCGGAAAUCAGAGAACUAUCCUAACUACUGUGAGGAAAGGAGACUGGAUUAUUCAAGCAACGUAAGUAGACCUGAGAUCUAUGGAUCCAUGGGACACACCUUCCUGGAAAAUGUCACAUAAAUUGUGUAAGUCUCCGACUACCAGAUGAGCAGAUAUUUCCUACCAACUUGGCAAGUAGGUUUAUUGCAGGUUUAUUUAUCAAGACACGGA